rnacentral:rRNA from 1 species
CUGGCGGCAGGCCUAACACAUGCAAGUCGAACGGUAACAGGAAACAGCUUGCUGUUUCGCUGACGAGUGGCGGACGGGUGAGUAAUGUCUGGGAAACUGCCUGAUGGAGGGGGAUAACUACUGGAAACGGUAGCUAAUACCGCAUAACGUCGCAAGACCAAAGAGGGGGACCUUCGGGCCUCUUGCCAUCGGAUGUGCCCAGAUGGGAUUAGCUAGUAGGUGGGGUAAAGGCUCACCUAGGCGACGAUCCCUAGCUGGUCUGAGAGGAUGACCAGCCACACUGGAACUGAGACACGGUCCAGACUCCUACGGGAGGCAGCAGUGGGGAAUAUUGCACAAUGGGCGCAAGCCUGAUGCAGCCAUGCCGCGUGUAUGAAGAAGGCCUUCGGGUUGUAAAGUACUUUCAGCGGGGAGGAAGGGAGUAAAGUUAAUACCUUUGCUCAUUGACGUUACCCGCAGAAGAAGCACCGGCUAACUCCGUGCCAGCAGCCGCGGUAAUACGGAGGGUGCAAGCGUUAAUCGGAAUUACUGGGCGUAAAGCGCACGCAGGCGGUUUGUUAAGUCAGAUGUGAA